UAUUUUAAUGCAUUAUCACUGUGAAAUAAGACCCCUUUUCCACAAGAAGACCACCACUAGUGUGCUGCAUCACUUUGUGAUCCCUCAUGAUAUCUGCAUCAGAGCACACAUGCACAGAUAUUUGCCUCCUUACAAUAUUUGCACAAGCACAAGAACAUAUGAAAAGACACACAUCCAGCAAAAGUGACUAAUAAUUUAUGCCUCCAAUAUGGCUUUAGCUUCAUUAUCAAACGCUUUGCAAAGAAUUUCAUAAUUCUUCUGAGCUCCAAUCAGUGGAUCAACUCUUGAUGGUGAAAUACUCGAUAUAGCAUAUCUGCACAAAAUUAGAACCAAAUCAAUGGAAUCUAGAUAAAGAAAAGGAACAGAGAAAUAUUAAAAUGAGCUUUUAUGGCAGAGGGAAAAUAAAGAGGAAUCAUGCUUUUGGUCUUGGGUGAAAUGCCAAAUCCACAAAUUGAUGCAGCUCAGGAAGUUAGAACAGAAAAGUAGGAUUAAAGGAGUUUAGGGUGGAAUAAGCGUGGGAGAAGACCACUCAUUGGACAGCUUGGAAGAAAAAUCUAACGCCUGAAGAAGCUUACCGGCUCUGAAGUUAAUCUAUAGAAAUAGAUAAAACAAAAUUAUUCAUUGUGAUGCAGGACAGCUUGCACGUUUAAAGUUCACAAUUAGGUACUUAAAAGCUAGAAAAAGGUAGGAAAUUGGGUGGACAAGCAAGGUUAGUGAGGAGGGAACAACCAGGAAUCAAAUAGAAAAGAAAGAUUCUGAUGCUUGCAGCAAAAAUCUGCCAUUGUGAUCAGCACCCAAGAACAGUACUGUUAGGGAGAUGCAGGCUAUAAAAGUAAAUUAAGGUUUUAAUGGAAGAUUUCUGGCACUCGGGCUGAUGACUAAAGGCCACAUUAUGAUUGGAGAAAAAAAACUAACACGCUUCUUUGAAUCACAUAUUUUAGAGGCUUCUUGUAAGGUAAAUUUAUAUAUAUCACUAAACAAACUCUUGAAGUCUCAAGCCUAGUAAACCCAACUCUAAUUAACCAAGCUCCCAAAUUUUGAUGGUCCCAGAAAUAACAUAAUUACCAAAAUUUUAGAGUUCUUCAAUCUGGCCUUUCUUGACAUUCCAUGAAUCAGCAUCAGGAAUGUUUUACAAAUAUUAAUGGUGGUUUUAUGUGGAUUUGAGUAAUGGUUAUACUCAUCAAAAUUGGUUUGUAUCUAACAUGAUGCUUUCCUUUCAACCUAAGAUUCAGAAAGCUAAGCAUUAGCAAUAGCAAAUGCAAGAAAAGAUCAAGAAGAUAUGCUAUAAGUAACAAAUUUACCUCAGCUUACUUGUAUAGAAAUUCAUAGCUACUACAUUUGCUUUUUGGACAGUUAAGACAAUGGAGCUCAUGCAGUUCUACAAAAGAGGGAAUCACUAAAUUAAAUUUCAAAUUGUGAAGAAGACAACAUGAUUUCGCCAAAAAAGAUUGAACAUUGAUUAACAAAAAAAGGUAAAGCAAAAGAAAAGGUAGCAUUAAGUACCUUACGAGCAAUAAGCUCAAGCAAUUCCAUUAUGAAUUUCCCUAAUCCCUUCCCUUGCACACGAGAUUCCAGCUGAAUUUCAUACACAUAAAGAACAGGCAAACCCUCUUCUAGAGUAAACCGGUAAUGUACAAAGCCAACCAACGAAUCGUCCCUAUCUAAUAUCACCUUUUCUUCAUUAUGUGAAGCCUCAUACAAUAAUAUAUGACGUGCUUCUGGCGUAACCAUUUCCCAUCGCUUCACCUUCUCUUCAGCAGCCCACUCAGGGCCAUAAUGCCUCUCCAUAUUAUCCUUGAGAAGGUUUUGAAGACGUCGCUUAAGAGAAGAGGUGAGUUUAUCCCCUCUCCCAGAUUCCAAGUACACCGACAGCCCAUUGGUAUCGAACUGGCGAAAGGAUGGGAAAGAAGCAAGAUGAUCCUUAACGGCAGAAGCUGCUUUGAUCAAUUCAUCUACUGCCUUCUUCUUUUCCAAAAUCUAACUACCAAAUUAGGGAUUUUAUUUUAGGAAUCAAAAUGAGAUUUUAUAAGUGAGAUUCUGUGUGAAUGUGUAUGGUACCUCUCUGCGUUUAGGCAUCCUUUGUGUGGUAAUGUUGCUCUGUUUGUUACUAUGAAGGUUGGUGGAGAGGGCAGUCGACCCCAUCGCCGCCGCUGCCCAAGAGG
rnacentral:misc_RNA from 1 species